rnacentral:lncRNA from 1 species
CCAGUGCAUUCUACACUCAGAUGUGGAAAAUCACUUGAGUGUUGUGCUUUCUAUUAAGAUUAUCUUCCAAGAGAAAUUUGAGAAUUGACACUGGUAAAAUAGGUAAUCUGAGGACUUCAGAUGGUCUUGUCAUUUAUUUGAAUUAAGGUACUUAAACAUUUUGAUGCAGCUAUUGUCUGGAUUCUGAUAACUUAAGUCAUACAGUAAACAUGCAUGUAACUAAGGAUGUGAAACUGUCAUGAACUGAAUGUCAGAUUUGUCUGUGUCUUUAAAAUUGUCCCCAAGAAGGUGUGUUAUUCCUUAAGAAGUAGAUUUAACUAAAACAGAAGCGUAGGAAUUAUAGCAAAGUAAAUUUCAGUCUCAGAAAACCUUGAAAUGAGAUAAUCUGCAUUAUCUGAACAGUUUUAAGUUAACCAGACAUUCCCUUUUGGGGGAAACGACUUUUGCUUGAAACCUUCAGCUGCUUUUAAAGUAUAUAUUUCUUGUGUAAUGUGCCAUAGAAAAACUGAUCAGAUAACAGAUUUUGUGAGUACCAGCUUUGUGGUAGCAUUUGGAUAGCAGUAUUGACAAAGCCCAUUUCAUGAACUACCAAAGCAAAGACAGCAGUUU